UACGAAGGGGGCUAGCGUUGCUCGGAAUUACUGGGCGUAAAGCGCACGUAGGCGGUCUUUUAAGUCGGGGGUGAAAUCCUGGAGCUCAACUCCAGAACUGCCUUCGAUACUGGAAGACUUGAGUCCGGGAGAGGUGAGUGGAACUGCGAGUGUAGAGGUGAAAUUCGUAGAUAUUCGCAAGAACACCAGUGGCGAAGGCGGCUCACUGGCCCGGUACUGACGCUGAG
rnacentral:rRNA from 1 species